rnacentral:rRNA from 1 species
UACGAAGGGGGCUAGCGUUGUUCGGAAUACUGGGCGUAAAGCGUAUGCAGGCGGAUCGUUAAGUCGGGGGUGAAAUCCCGAGGCUCAACCUCGGAACUGCCUUCGAUACUGGCGAUCUUGAGUCCGGGAGAGUGAGUGGAACUCCGAGUGUAGAGGUGAAAUUCGUAGAUAUCGGAAGAACACCAGUGGCGAAGGCGGCUCACUGGCCCGGUACUGACGCUGAGAUACGAAAGCGUGGGGAGCAA